AGGCUGCUAUUGUUGGCCCAUUAGCACUUCCACGUGCUAUCCCAAUUCCUCCUUUCCCUCUACGAGAAUACAAGAAAUUGCAAGUCAACAAUCACCUGAAGCCACCUCCUCGACUUAGAGAUGUUAAGUCUUGUCCACGACAAUCAUCAAUUUAGGAAGCAUGGAUCAACAAGCUUCAUUCUUGUUUCUCCAAUACUUGGAAGCUUCUUGGCAUUUAUAACUUCAUUAAGCUGACUAGAUUUGCCCUUCCUUGCUGCCCCAUGGUAAUUGUGGGUUAUUUAAGACUUUGGUCCCAAUCAUGUAACUUCUUUAUACUGCUAAUGGGCCCUAUGUCAAUCACCUUAAAGGACAUUAAGAUUCUCACCGAUCUAUCUAUUGUUGAAACAGAGGUACCUAGCACUUUUUCAAAGUUGCCAUCCAAAUUUAAACAACUGGACAAUUUUACCUCCUACAGUGCUUUGAGUGACUAUAGUAUCGGCAUCAGUCAAUUCAACCAUACUCCGUUUAUAAGGUGCCUGAUCUAACAAUUCACUUUCUGCUUGCCUGUAGAUGUGCUUCUCAUGAUUACCUAUCGCUGGCUUCUCUCUUACGACAAGCAACCCUUGUGCCCUUAGUACUAUAUUGCUGGCUUCCAUAUUUCGGUCCAUGUCCUCAUGGUCUCUAAUGCACCUGUGAGUAAAGUAAGUGGUGAAUUCUGGAUUGCACAGAUAUGGUUACUUUCAUACUUUCCAAAGCUAGCAAGUUCUUCACCAUCCUCAGUUGAUGGUGUCUUUGGCAAAAGAGUUGUAUCACUAGCUUGUGAAUGGGAUGAGCAUCAAGUAUUAAAAUCUUAGUUCAGCUACCUGCCAAUGAUUUUACUGGUUUCAUUCCUUUCGAUGAUGUUAUCGCUCUUAAGUCCAUUGGCUUUCCUCCUUGGUUGAUCUGCUCAAAUGCUUCCUUUAUUGAUGAGCCUAUCAGUAACUGGGCCUCUAUUACUGCCAUUAGGCAUUUGCACAUAGGUUCCACCUUUGGCACACUUCUGGGCAUCAUAAAACCUGGACUUGAACUAUACAUGCUUUCUCUCUAGUCCCACUAGCUGGGUUUCAUUUAGGGAGUUUCAUCUGACAUCUUUGUACGUGCCAACACCUCAAGCAGUACUAAAAUUACACUAUCCACUAAGUAGAUAUGGCACGUUAUCGUUUCAACCCACAGUAACUUCAAUACAUGAGCCAGCUAAUUCCCUUAGAGUCUAUUGACCCACAUCUCUGUGCCUUUUAGAUCUAGUGGUCUUCCAUAUUCCAUGAAACUGUAAUAAGACCUAUAGCUGCACUUACUUACCCCCCAUUCAUCAUACUUUAUGUUUAUGUUCCUUACCUUUGCUAUUUGUUGUGUGUCUCUUGCCAUGUGCUUCUUCUCCUGGUAAAGCUCAAAAGGUGGCCUCUAUAAAGACUACGCCUUCUUUAGAAAAACACAAGGCCACUACACUGCCAGUCCUCCCUUCGGUAAAGAAAAUAAAAAUGCCAGCAAAGAAAUUUAAGACCUAAGAUCUAGAAAUCUCCUCCUCCCUGGAGAAAACAGAAAGAAAGUCCUUCUUUACCUCUUAUUAGGCACUCUAGCCAACAUGUGCCUAAAGCUAAGAAGCCUCAAACUUCCCAUUCUAUGGCAGUGGAGAUCUCAGAUGCUAGUGAUUCUGACAUAGAGGCCUCUUCAGGUGCCAAUACUACUCCUACUGGGGACGCUCCUCUGAACAAUACUCAGGGACUCUUGAAGAGGAAUAAGGCACAGCUAGUACCCAAGAUGAUCAUGCCACCUAAGAAGCGGCAGGUAUCAGAGAUGAUGAUUCACUAGGGCACAUUCCUUCAUCUAUUUUUCUUGAGAAAUCUUACGGGAAAUCUGAGAGUAUCGGCGUGCUUUACACGACGAGAGCCCUCGCGAGGAUAUAAAUUUCAAAAUUUCAGAUACCGAAAUUUUGGUACUCUCGUUUUGUGGAAAUUCGAUGGUUACUCGGGUCUGUAAUUUUGGGCCGGACAGACAGGCUGUCUGAAAAACUUCAAGACCGGGCUGAGGUUAUAGGCUAUUCCACCAUUUUCAAACGCCCCAGACGCGUCCCAAGUGUAGAAAUUGACGUAGGUAAACCCGAAACCUAAGUUUUCUUAAUUCUCAAGUGUUUAAUUUUGAUUAAAAAUCUAUAAAAUAUUCAUGUUAUGUUAGAAAAUUAUAAUUCUUUUUGCAUUAGCUUAGUAAUAUUGUUAAGGACUGCGAUGUAAAAUUUUAGAAUUUUUAAAGCUUGUUUAAGUGGCUUUUGCUAAAAGUUGUUUUUGGGGAUUUGUAAUUUUUCCAGAUUGCGAGUUUUGAUUGAUUUAGAGGGCUCAGGAGAGGCCAUAUAUUAUUAAUGUGUUGUGAUUGUAGGAAAUUGAGAAUUAUAAGUGUUAUUUGAACCUUUUUACAGGAUGAGUAGGUCCUAGGUAUAGGAGAAAUUCUGUCGAAUUUUUGGCAAAACCUUAAAAUUGUUUUUUGAUUCUCUAUACCUUUGUUUCAAGUUGUUUAUUUAUAAAUUUUGGGUGUAUUAUUUAGAUGAGCCAGGACAGCCUUCUUCCUCCGUCCAUCCACCGCAGUAGCCUUUAAAGUAUUGUGAGUAGAUAUUUAUUUUAUUUAUAAUUUUAAUAUUAUUAUAUUUCUAGCAUGCUUAUGCAUCACUUAUAUUUAUAUCUAUGUAGUUAAAUAUUAGGCAUUCCCUGUUUUGCAUUUAUACUUGCUCGUAUUACUUUGGUUGUUGUGUUUUGAUAAUCUAGAGCUCUGUGUGUGUGUGAGUGGGUGUGUAUGUAGUGUAUAUGGAUAUGGGUAGAACGGGCAAAUCAGCUUGGGCUAGUCUCGCUUGGGGCCCGAUCCUUUUUUUUUUU